GGGGGGCCAGAACGACUUCCAAAGAAGAAGUUGUGCCCUCCCUGCACGACUUCACACUGUUCACAUGAACAGUGGUGAAGUCGUGCACCCCAAAAAUGACUUCUGGGCCUGGUAAUCGAUUACAAUGUGGUAAAAUCGUGCCCCCCCUGCACGACUUCAGUUUUCUAGGCAAAAAUGGGCCUGGUAAUCGAUUACAGACCCUUGUAAUCGAUUACCAGGAGGUUUUUAUGUAGUAACAACCCUGGUAAUCGCUUACCA
rnacentral:lncRNA from 1 species